rnacentral:rRNA from 1 species
GGGAAUAUUGCGCAAUGGGCGAAAGCCUGACGCAGCCAUGCCGCGUGUGUGAAGAAGGCCUUCGGGUUGUAAAGCACUUUCAAUAGGGAGGAAAGGUUGUAGCUUAAUACGCUGCAACUGUGACGUUACCUAUAGAAGAAGCACCGGCUAACUCCGUGCCAGCAGCCGCGGUAAUACGGAGGGUGCGAGCGUUAAUCGGAAUUACUGGGCGUAAAGCGCGCGUAGGCGGCUUCGUCAGUCAGAUGUGAAAGCCCCGGGCUCAACCUGGGAAUUGCAUUUGAAACUGGGGAACUAGAGUGUGUGAGAGGGGGGUAGAAUUCCAAGUGUAGCGGUGAAAUGCGUAGAG